rnacentral:tRNA from 3 species
GAGUGUAGCUCAGUUGGUAGAGCAUCACGUUGCCAACGUGAUUGUCGCCGGUUCGAUUCCGGUCACU